rnacentral:rRNA from 1 species
CGAACGCUGGCGGCGUGCUUAGCACAUGCAAGUCGAACGGAAAGGCCCUGCUUUUGUGGGGUGCUCGAGUGGCGAACGGGUGAGUAACACGUGAGUAACCUGCCCUUGACUUUGGGACAACUUCAGGAAACUGGGGCUAAUACCGGAUAGGAGCUCCUGCUGCAUGGUGGGGGUUGGAAAGUUUCGGCGGUUGGGGAUGGACUCGCGGCUUAUCAGCUUGUUGGUGGGGUAGUGGCUUACCAAGGCUUUGACGGGUAGCCGGCCUGAGAGGGUGACCGGCCACAUUGGGACUGAGAUACGGCCCAGACUCCUACGGGAGGCAGCAGUGGGGAAUAUUGCACAAUGGGCGGAAGCCUGAUGCAGCAACGCCGCGUGCGGGAUGACGGCCUUCGGGUUGUAAACCGCUUUCGCCUGUGACGAAGCGUGAGUGACGGUAAUGGGUAAAGAAGCACCGGCUAACUACGUG